ACGGCUUCUCCUCUUUUGGCUAGAAUCAAGUGUAGCAUGUGUUCUUACCAGUUUAAUAUCUGGUGUGUCCUUUAUCCGACAAUAAUAUAGUCAAUGGAUUUUUUUUUUGAAACAGAAAGACUCUUCUCUGUCUACCCCAUGCAUCCACCUGGUACUACAAUGCCUCUGAGAAUGAUGUACUUCAU
ensembl:snRNA Gm23206 predicted gene, 23206